UGGUACGAAGGGUGGCGUUUCUUUCCUUGUGCGAAGUGUUCUCGGGAUGCACCGUACCACCCGAAGUUGUCGUCUCGUUCUGUUGAAUUUCAGAGCCGGCGUCGACUUCAACUGUCGUAUCAUAGCACGUGCCUCUAUCAACCAUUCAAGUCUGGUGCAUCAUGGUCGCUACCUGGAACCUGAGCACGGUCUCCGGGGCUAAUUUGAAGCUCUACAGUUUGCGUUGCCGGAGCCAAGAAAUGCUAAGUGGGGAACAUGUACGAGGUCAGAGCCUCUUCCCUGGCGAUUCUUACGGAACAUCAAGGCCAUUACCAAGCAUCAAAUUCAUGACUGAGCUUGGGUGAGAGUAACAACAUUGGCGAUUGUGGUGCGAUUUUUACUGCUCUGCCUCUCGUCGAUUGUCUUGUGUCAUCAAAUUCUAAAAUUGUGCCGGUCACUUGUUAUAGGCGGACUUUGGCACAGUUCUUGCCACUGCGAGUCUUCCCCGCGAUAAAAUCGAAAGGGAACUGGCUGGAGUAGUGGCGCUUAUAGCUUCGGGUUUCGCAAACCAAAAGUGGUACGCGUCUGAAGUGACAGGUAGUGGCCGCAGCGAAUGGAGAAACAGCACAACACGCACUAACGCAAUAGUUUUAUCCUAGGCAAGUCGCGAACAGGAUGUUAUGCAUGGCUGGUGCCUGACUGUAAUGGUGAUGGGGGCCCACUUCCUAUGCCUUUGCGCUCCCAGCCACAGUUUCGUGCCAGUUACUCCUGAUACGGGACGUGGUUUUUGUGGAAGCAAGAUGAUAUUCAGGGUUAACUGCUUCAUUAUUGUCGUGCUCACUAACCUCCGUGUACCCGUAUCAGCAGUUCCAUUGUGUAGUGUUCAUGCCACGGUGGAAGCAGAUGAUUUUAUUCUUUAUCUCUCGACUCUGUUCCUGUUAAUGUAUUACAGUUCUUGUCUUUCGACGGUAGUUCCAUUUCUACCGGCCGUCACGCUUGCCUUCCUGUUUUGUUCUUCAAGCCUGGUCUUCAAUUAUCCGGACCUUGAAGAUCUUGAAAAGAUCAACUGUGGACCUUCAUCAUUGUGGUUAUAAGGGGGAAAAGAAGAGAAAAGUGAGCCCCUGCAACUGUCUGCGUCAGCAUGCGACACCUCAACAGUAGCUCACAAGAGAUGGGGGUGAGGAGGGAUUAAA